rnacentral:rRNA from 1 species
GGAAGUAAAAGUCGUAACAAGGUCUCCGUUGGUGAACCAGCGGAGGGAUCAUUACCGAGUUUACAACUCCCAAACCCAUGUGAACAUACCUACUGUUGCUUCGGCGGGAUUGCCCCGGGCGCCUCGUGUGCCCCGGAUCAGGCGCCCGCCUAGGAAACUUAAUUCUUGUUUUAUUUUGGAAUCUUCUGAGUAGUUUUUACAAAUAAAUAAAAACUUUCAACAACGGAUCUCUUGGUUCUGGCAUCGAUGAAGAACGCAGCGAAAUGCGAUAAGUAAUGUGAAUUGCAGAAUUCAGUGAAUCAUCGAAUCUUUGAACGCACAUUGCGCCCGCCAGUAUUCUGGCGGGCAUGCCUGUCUGAGCGUCAUUUCAACCCUCAUGCCCCUAGGGCGUGGUGUUGGGGAUCGGCCAAAGCCCGCGAGGGACGGCCGGCCCCUAAAUCUAGUGGCGGACCCGUCGUGGCCUCCUCUGCGAAGUAGUGAUAUUCCGCAUCGGAGAGCGACGAGCCCCUGCCGUUAAACCCCCAACUUUCCAAGGUUGACCUCAGAUCAGGUAGGAAUACCCGCUGAACUUAAGCAUAUCAAUAAGCGGAGGA